UGUCGCGGGUUGAAAUUUUGCAGGGUUGUUGAAAUCAAAUUUAGGGACUUUACUGACGGGACUCUGGGCUGGCUGCUCUGUUCACUCGUCAGCGCAAGUGGCGUGACCAUGUAAUUGGGGCACGGGGCCGGCGCGGCGCGCUGCGGGCUUGCAGAAUUUUGUUUGUUUGUUUGGCCGCGCGCUGGCGCAGCCACGGGCCGCAGUUACUGGGGCGCGCUGUCGUAACAAGCCGCGCGGUGUGGCCUGCACAUUGUGGUAGAGGGGGGGGAGUCUUCCCAGAUGUUCUAGUUAGUUGUUUAGUAAAUUUGACUUCAAUAACGAGCUUUUGUUAUGGUAGGCGCGGCAGGGCGCGCGAAUUUAAGCGCAAGUGAGUGGUGACUCGGGGCUCACUCAGGCGGAGGCUAUGCGUCUCACCUGUGGUCACGAGUUGUUAGUUCGUUCGUGAUGUAGGAAUUCAAGCUUUCGGGCGGAAGCUAUGGCCGACGCCAGAGGCCACGAGUCGUUUAAUUUAAGUUAGGUCAUAAUGUAGUCAUCUUCAAGCUUUCGGGCGGAGGCUAUGGCCCUUGUCACUAGUCGUUUAGUUAUAAUUUUUAAAAUGUAAUGUUCGUUCGGAUUUUAAGGGCAGGAGAGGCCCCUACGUUAGUUUUAAGUAAUCGAUCAAGAAAGGCUUUUCGGAAAAUGUGAGUAUGGACUUAUCUUUGUUUUAAUUUUAAGUAUUAAUUAUGAUUUGAGGUAUUCGGAAGGACUAGGGAAGUGUUUAGUGAAGUUCUCUCAUUCUCUCUCUUGUAAGGUCGUUCAAUCGUUAAGGAAGUAAAGAAGAGUAUUGUUUUAAAUUUUAAUCCCGAUGUGUAAAUGUUCGUCAAGAAUGAUGUUGAUUAUUUGACUUUAAGAAUAAAAUAAUUUUAAUUUAGUAUUAUGUUAUUUUGCAAAAUCUCCUUAGUUCAGCUCUCACCAGACAUCCUGUACGGGAUGACGAACCUAUGAUCCUAGGUACAGUAAAGUAUUUUAUGAAGUUAAGACUAGUUGAUGCCAAGCGAGUUGUUUCUAUGUAAAGAGCUACGAUUCUCUCCCCCCUCUGAAGGUGGAUCGUGACAGAAAUGGCGGUGGCACCGGCUAGGUGCACGUUACAAGAAAUGGUAGAGUUCGCCGGAUAGGUUCUAUUUCUGGAGAGAGAGAGAGGUAGAUUUUUAUGUUUAUUAUUAAAUUAGUUUCAGCUUCUGAUAGCAGGUUAUUAAGAGUUUACUUGAGGAGAGGAUUACGGAAUUUUAGUCUAUAGUGGAGGAAGUCUUUGAGAUUUUUUUUUUGACGUAACAGAUGUUUAUUUGAGGAUACUUGUAAGGAUAAAGUUUAUAGUGAUAAGUUGUUUUAAGUCGUUGAAUUUAUUGUAGAUUUAUAUCGGGGAUUAUUACGUGAGGAGAAUACGUUAUAAGUUAAAUGCUUAUUAGAGAUAAUGCAAGUGGUUUAAUUUAAUUGAAGUUCAUUUUAAGAUUGUAGGUUAAGAGAAUUAUAAUUUAAAAUAAAGUUUUUUGUCGUAAAUAGGAAUUAUUUUCAAGAGAAGUUUGUUUUGUUUUCGUGCGCGUAGGAGACGAGACGUACGAAUUAAAUCAGUCGAGGGAAGGAUAAACGUUAGAAAGGAAUUAAAGAGAAAACGAGAGUUUAUGUAAAAGAGAGUUAUAGAAUUUAUAGUGAUGUUUUGUUUUAAUUAGAAAAAUGUUGAGAGUUGUUUCAGAACGACACGUCAGUGGACGUGGCAGAGUGAACACGUGACGGGGAGGUGCUGAGACCUAGCGGAGAACGGAGGAACCGCAAGCGAGGGUUGGCGCACCUGAUGGAAUUCGGUGACGUCACGGGCUCAUACGGAGACGUGGACGGCCGUGACCUUGUUUUGAUCAGCUGUACGGUAACUUAGCGAUAAGAAAAUAGACUAUUGGUUAAAUAAAUUUAAAUUUAAGUGUGUUUUAGAAGAAGAGGAACUUUCAGUAUAUUCCUUAAGAUGAGCUGAGCAGCAGUCCAGUUUACAAGAUGACAAGAGUUCGAGAGACAAGAUACAAGAUCACUGAAACAAGAGCCAAGACUGAAGAUUCAAGAGAAGAGAAAGCUGGCAGCCAUGGACUUACAAGUGGAGAUUAAUAAGGUCAUGUAAAGUUUUAUUUUUAUUAUGGAAGACAGUAACUGGAGUUUUUUUUUGUUAUAAACAUUAUUUACAGAACUUUUUAGGUUAUAGUAAUGUAAUGGAACUAGUGAGUUGUGGUAGCUGUCAAAAAGAACUAAUACCUUAAGUUUAAUUUUUAAAGUUAAUUUUCUUAAUUUACAGAGGGAUUAGUAGUUUUUUUUAAACCUUAUUUAGGUUGGAAUUUAAAUACAAUAGCUUAUUAUAAAUGUGUACGAACAGUUCAAGUUCACAGUACUGAUAGGUAGGUCAGAUGAUCUUGUUGAUUUUGAUGAUUUGUUGUUUUGAGUUGAUUUUUAAGUGUUGUGAAUUAGACAAUGAAAUAGUUCUGAAAACUUAAAUUAUUUCAAGCUAAGAAAUAGUAAAGUUAAUUGUAACUCAAAGGACACCAGAAUUUAAUUUUUUUUUGAAUUAGUAAUGUUUGAAAAUUUUAUACUUUACAAGAAAGGUUAUAAACAAACAGAUCGGAUGGAACAAGGAUGCAGUAAAUCACAAUUUCAUUUAGAAUUAUUGAUUAGCUUUUGAGGUUAUGAAGUAAAAGUAAUUAUAGUUUAAAAGUUUGAAUAAAAAAAUGUUUUUUUUUAUUUGUUUGAAAUAGAAAGUUUAAAAGUUAAUUAGUCAUGAUCUAGGUGGGUGAUGGGGUGGGAAUUGGCCACUCUUUUUCCCUAUAACCUCCCUAACAUGGCCUUCUAUUACAUCUAACAGAAAAAAAAAAGAAGAAAAAGAAGACUUAUUAUUAGUUAGAAUGUUUUUUUAUGAAGAUACCUGAUGAACUUUUUUUUUAUUGUUGGGAAGAAUAGUAGCAAGAUUAAUCAGAUGUUUUACUCAGAAGAAGAAGAAGAAGAAGAUAAAGCAGUUUUAUGACUCGACAAGCCAGAGAUUGGUGUUUCCCCUCUGCGCUUCUAUUGACUACGUUGUUUACUCUCAUGGGAUAGCUGGUUCGGCACCAUGGAGAGAGAUUGGUGGGCAUUGUGGUUGCCCCCAGAAGAAAAGAAGAGUAGAAGAGGUUAUGGGUGGGUCAUGUGAACUGACCUUCAACCCAGUUACUUCGUGGGGACUAUUUGCUGUAUAGAGAAGAUCAAGACUCAAGAGUUAGGGAAAAUUAUUGGAGGUCAUGUUUCCCUUCCUUAAGUUUUUCCUAUCAAAUUAUUUGCCUGAUUAGAUUAUGCUAAGGGUGGGAUACUUUAUGUUAGCAGUUGAAUUAAUUAAUUUUAUUUUUUUGUGUGUUUGCAUCCUUGCCCAUCGAUUGCAGUUUAGUAGUUAGUUUUGUAUUUGUCAGGCGUGAUGGUAAUGCCUGUUGAUGAUGUUUCAGAAUUGUAAUCUGUUCGUGAUGAGGAUGGCACAACUCCGAAGCAGAUGUGGGGAGAAGUUGUGAGCUGCCCUGGAAGCCAGUCCAGUAGCUGUUGGAGUUGAGUGGUGUUUGCUGAUGGCCAGCCCAGGGAGCUACUCUUCUCGACAACACUGACUUCGAGGAGUUGCACCAACCUUCACGAGAUAAGAGUUUAAUUAAUUGAAACACUGUAAGGACACUUAAUUUUUUUUGAAGAACGAAAGAAGUAUGGUAAUAAACGGAAACCGAAAAAAAAAAAAAUAAUAAUAAUUAUCAAGAAUUUGCACAUUGUUUAACGAAUACUGAGAAACUAAGAACAGUAAUUUAAUUUGUAAAGAGAGCUUCACUAACAGAACAAUUUUUUUAGAAUUGAGAACUCGAGCCUCUGAAGGUUCCUGUGAGAACAAACCAGAUAAAAGUUUUACAUUUAAUUUUAUGAAUACUUGUUGUUUUAAAAUAAAUCUUAUGCAGAAUCUAGAUGUAUGUUCAGACAGCAAGGAACUAAGAAAAUUAUUAUUUUUGUGAAAUGAGGAAUUUAUAGUUAUGGUUUAAUGGAAAAAGACAAUUUGUAAUUUUGAGGUAGCUCGAUGGGGCUCGAGCUCUGUGAGGGGAGGGUUAUGUCGCGGGUUGAAAUUUUGCAGGGUUGUUGAAAUCAAAUUUAGGGACUUUACUGACGGGACUCUGGGCUGGCUGCUCUGUUCACUCGUCAGCGCAAGUGGCGUGACCAUGUAAUUGGGGCACGGGGCCGGCGCGGCGCGCUGCGGGCUUGCAGAAUUUUGUUUGUUUGUUUGGCCGCGCGCUGGCGCAGCCACGGGCCGCAGUUACUGGGGCGCGCUGUCGUAACAAGCCGCGCGGUGUGGCCUGCACAUUGUGGUAGAGGGGGGGGAGUCUUCCCAGAUGUUCUAGUUAGUUGUUUAGUAAAUUUGACUUCAAUAACGAGCUUUUGUUAUGGUAGGCGCGGCAGGGCGCGCGAAUUUAAGCGCAAGUGAGUGGUGACUCGGGGCUCACUCAGGCGGAGGCUAUGCGUCUCACCUGUGGUCACGAGUUGUUAGUUCGUUCGUGAUGUAGGAAUUCAAGCUUUCGGGCGGAAGCUAUGGCCGACGCCAGAGGCCACGAGUCGUUUAAUUUAAGUUAGGUCAUAAUGUAGUCAUCUUCAAGCUUUCGGGCGGAGGCUAUGGCCCUUGUCACUAGUCGUUUAGUUAUAAUUUUUAAAAUGUAAUGUUCGUUCGGAUUUUAAGGGCAGGAGAGGCCCCUACGUUAGUUUUAAGUAAUCGAUCAAGAAAGGCUUUUCGGAAAAUGUGAGUAUGGACUUAUCUUUGUUUUAAUUUUAAGUAUUAAUUAUGAUUUGAGGUAUUCGGAAGGACUAGGGAAGUGUUUAGUGAAGUUCUCUCAUUCUCUCUCUUGUAAGGUCGUUCAAUCGUUAAGGAAGUAAAGAAGAGUAUUGUUUUAAAUUUUAAUCCCGAUGUGUAAAUGUUCGUCAAGAAUGAUGUUGAUUAUUUGACUUUAAGAAUAAAAUAAUUUUAAUUUAGUAUUAUGUUAUUUUGCAAAAUCUCCUUAGUUCAGCUCUCACCAGACAUCCUGUACGGGAUGACGAACCUAUGAUCCUAGGUACAGUAAAGUAUUUUAUGAAGUUAAGACUAGUUGAUGCCAAGCGAGUUGUUUCUAUGUAAAGAGCUACGAUUCUCUCCCCCCUCUGAAGGUGGAUCGUGACAGAAAUGGCGGUGGCACCGGCUAGGUGCACGUGACAAUAUUACACCAGCUCAUUGGCUACUGACUCGUGACACAUGCUAACUUGGAUGCUUAUGAUUCGAUACUUCUUACGUUGAGGGUCAUUCAUUUGGCUCACAGUCUUUCAGGCAAACUGUGUUCCAAUCACUGAAGCGGCAAUAAGUUACACGCACUUGGAUUCUAGCCUAUCGCGAAAUGAACCCGCGAAUUUUUCCUGUCUCUAAUCAUCAUGUAGUGAAUAGCGUAAAUUCAAAAGGUUAUGGUUAUUAGUCGUUUUUCCCGUCACCGGGUGUCUUUGAGCACAGGAUCGCCACGGCGCGGCGGUGACAGUGAUUCCUCGAUGGUUCCCCACUGCCUUCCGCGGGAUGGAGGUGACAGGGACAUCGCAAACACCCGGUCCUGGACCCAGAGGAGUAGUUUCAGAGAUCCCCUCCCCAACCGGGAAUCGAACCCAGUCCCCUUGGCCUCCUCGGGCGGACAGAUACAACGUGUAGUGAAGAAUAUUUAUAAGCGCGUGUGUAGCGCCACGUAUUUUUCACAAGAAAAAAAAUCUGAUCGCUUGUUGGAUAUGGUGUGCUUGCGCUAGCGAUUGUUUCUUUGUGGUUGGCGGCCGUCAGCAAGAGAAGCCAUUGGCCCGUUUCGACGGGCCGUUCAGGACGCGUUUGCUUCCUUACUGGACGGCUGUGAUUGGUAGAGACCUGAAAAAUUCGCGAUUUCAUUUCGUGUUAUGCAAAAACUCAAAUAAUUAUACCUUAGUGCUGCUUCUGCCAUUGGUCCACUGUUAAUCUGGAGGACAGCGGGCCAAUUAGAGACCCUCCACUCAUAGAAGUGUCUAAUCACAUGCCACCCAGUCGAGACGACUCACAAGUCAGCAGCCAAUGAACAGUUGGCAUUUGCCCGAGUGCGUAGAGGAUAUUGGAGUCUAUCCUGGAGGUCAUUGAACCCGCGAAUUUUUCCAGUCUCUGGUGAUUGGUGAGCUACACCUGAGGUAAACCCAACCAACCACGGAAACACAGACAAUGCCACAAAGAUUCAACACACAGCUGG